rnacentral:rRNA from 1 species
AGCGAACGCUGGCGGCAGGCUUAACACAUGCAAGUCGAACGGGCAUCUUCGGAUGUCAGUGGCAGACGGGUGAGUAACACGUGGGAACGUACCCUUCGGUUCGGAAUAACUCAGGGAAACUUGAGCUAAUACCGGAUACGCCCUUUUGGGGAAAGGUUUACUGCCGAAGGAUCGGCCCGCGUCUGAUUAGCUUGUUGGUGGGGUAACGGCCUACCAAGGCGACGAUCAGUAGCUGGUCUGAGAGGAUGAUCAGCCACACUGGGACUGAGACACGGCCCAGACUCCUACGGGAGGCAGCAGAGGGGAAUAUUGGACAAUGGGCGCAAGCCUGAUCCAGCCAUGCCGCGUGAGUGACGAAGGCCUUAGGGUUGUAAAGCUCUUUUGUCCGGGACGAUAAUGACGGUACCGGAAGAAUAAGCCCCGGCUAACUUCGUG